GAAAUUCAACAGGAAGCUCUCGCUAAUACUCACGCGUACUUGUGAGAGAAAAAUGACACGAGACAUCAAACGACGGACAGCUGAUUUUCCACAAGAAACAGCACGAGACUACAGAUCUUCCGCCGCUCCCGACCGCUCGGAUUUCCUCGACCGGAGUCCACGGAGAAACUCCAAGAUGUUGCGGUCGGAGCUCCCGCCUUCGCUCAUGGCCGCCUUCGUCUUCCCACUCCACUCCGCCGCCCUCGUCCGAAAAACCCCGUAAGAAAUAAAAUGAUGGAGGCUGGACUAAAGCAGAUCGGUGUAGUGGCUAAAGAAGUGUUUCGAGCAGCACAUGGGUGGCGACUGGAGACUAGAAGGAUCAUGGGGUGAAAACUUCAGAAGUCUCUCUGGACCGGUGACGCUGCGAAGAACUCUACUGCUUCAAGCCCCCCCACUGUUUUUCUGCUUUUGUUUUUGUUUUGGUCCUUCGGAGAAGACCUGUGUAUGAGACUGCUCUGUUAUCGUUUCUUAGUUUCUGUUCUAAGGCUCUUAAAAACCUGUAAUGCUAGUGCUGGGACCGGAUUUGAGGCCAGGCCUUAGGUUUCCCCCUUGGGAAGUUCUGCACUGUUUUGAGGACCUGUGGGCAGGGCAAGGGAUGGC